AAGGGAAUUCAGUAGGCAGUAAGUACUAUAUACUAGUUGGGGUGUAUAAGGUAUGAGUAUGAUAUAUAUGGUAUCCUAUCCUAUAAAUCUAUAUAAGUGAUCCCCACUUAGUGUAGUUAUUACACAAUUUCCUGCAUUGUGGUUGAUCCACGUCAUCAAAAUGAAUGCCAGCCGUUGGACCAAAACUCAACGGUUUGAUGGUUAUUGCUUGCACAAUGCACACGAGAAAGCCCAACUGAAUUGAGCCCAUCCCGACGGCCUCCCUAUCUGCUCGCUCUCAUCCCCAAACUCGCAACCACCGCCCGCUCUCAUCCCUUCACAAGUGCGGCGCAUCGGCCAACACUGCCGCCGCUUCCCCUCCUCUCGCACUGCUGCUCCUCACGCCUGUACGUUCCGCUCCUUCACAUCAGCCACCCCCGUCGCGCACACCAAUCCCCUUCGGUGACCUCGCUGGCGUCGUCUGUUCCUCUUCUCCAGAUUGUCUGAUGGACUACCAGCCUACCACUAGCUACCCACGGGAUGAUUCCUCUUUCUGAAACCAUCGCCAGCAACAAGCAGUCGGGAGUAUCUUCUUAAGCCUUUUUUAAGUCCUCAAAAUAUACCAUCGUCAGCUUCUAAGACUCUUAAUCCAUCAUCCCCGUGCGACCGGCCAACCCAACCAUAUGCAUCAUCACCAUGAUUAAGAUAAUGGAAAAAUGCCAGAUUUAUGCAAGACAACAUUUGAACAGGAUCAGUGCCAUCUGUGCACAAGUAUCUCACAACCUUUUUUAAUGUAAGUAUUUCACAACCAAUUUAUUAGAUUGUGCUUAUAAUCAGGUUAGACUGGGUACUGCAUAUGUACACUUUGCACCCUUUUGACUGCGAUUUGACAAAUUGUUUCUUCUGUAACAUUCAGGAACCCAAACUCUUUGCCCAGACCUUUUGAUGUGUUUUACAGUAUUAUCAGCAGUUUGCACGGCUUUUCUCUGCACUGCUUGGUUUCAUCAUUUUGUUUGGACACCAUUAACCAGAUCUUGCAGUGCUUGCUUUGUGUGAGCUUGACCAAAGAAUGUGGUGUACUGAUCCUUAUCACUAUGCACCCCUUUAUUCAAUAAUAUUGUGUUCACUUUAUGGAAAUCAUUUUUUUUUACUAACAGUUGUUCUUUAAUCCUUUUACCUUUGAUUGGCUAAUUGAUGUAUAUAUCUCAUAUAUACUUUAUAAUCUGAUCUGAUGAUUUGCUUGCUUGGCUGCAGGUACUCAGCGAGCAAUAUUUCUUUACCACUAACUAGAUUUGUCUUUAAUUAAAAUGAUAUUAAAAGGUAUUCAUAGAUUUUAGCUCUGAAAAAAUGGAUGCAUAGCUAGCAGGUAUACAUUUUUUCUCAUUCUCAACACAAAUAUAUCCUUAAACAUUGCACGAUCCUGUGAUGUUUUAGAGAGAAAUUUGUAUGCUUUAUUAUCCUCUAAUGUACUGAUUCAGUGUUUGUUCAGCUAAAUAUCUACCUUAUUUCAUAUUAUUCUUGAGUUGUUUGCAGGUCGCUCAACAUAUAUUUGGCCUAUUCUAUGAUUCUGCAAGCUAUCAAAUACUAUGUUAUUUAAAGGCGACAGAUCCAGCGACGGCUCGAGGCGCGGGCAGCGGGUCUGGCGGCGGAGCUCGAGGCGUGGGCAGCGGAUCCGAAGGCGGCUCGGGGCACAGGCGGUGGAUCCGGCAACGACACGUGGUACAGGCGGUGGAUCGGGCUUGGGGCAGCGGCGGAGAGGCAAGAGAGAGGGACCCCACUGCCGCCGCCGCCUUCUACCUCCACGAGCGGACGCCGGCGGGGCUCCGCAUCACGCCGCCGCCGCCCCCUCGCUGACGCCUCCCCAACACCCCCUCAGAGCUCCACCGCGCGCACUCGGAGCGCCGCCGCCGCCACACCCUCAGAUCACCGCCGCUACACGAGUCGCACGAGAGAGAAUGUGUGUUGCACGAGAGAGAGAGAGAGAGUUGCACGGUGGAUGGAUAGGGUUUCUGAGGGUAUUUUGGGCAUUACGAAUAUUAGUUACAUUCUCUUCUCUCUUUUUUUGGUAUUUUGGGCAUUACGAAUAUUAGUUACAUUCUCUCUCUCUCUCUAACCCAUGUCUCUGGUGGAUUCUCCAGGCGAAAACUUGUUUCGGAUGUCCGAAAUAGCUACGGCGAUAUUA